AAAGUUUUUUUUUUUCUUUCGUUCCAGCUGUUGGAUGACAUAAAGGGAAACUAUAUCCUCCACGUAUGCUGCGGAAAGAAAAAAUAUCCUUAUGUGACUAAUUCAAGAAAUGCUCAUAUGGUCAAACUCAGAAAUGUUUGUUUUAGUAGGAUCAAAGAAAUCAUUGCACAGAUCGGCUGGGCGUCUGUAACAGCAAGUACGAACUCGAUUUGGCUGGAAUUGAAUUGCAGAAUAGACAACCAAUGUGUUAAUGUCUGCUUGAUGCUUCAUUUCGCGGUUCACAAAAGUUCGUUGGUGGCAACCUGUCCGCAUCGCCUCCGUAAGAAGAGGCCGCGCGUCGAGGUUUCCAGUUCAGUCACCUACUUCACGGCGUUAGGGAAGGGUAUGCCGCCUCACUGCAAAAGGGCGGAAUUACCGACGGAAAGGGGCGUAAACGCUGGGGCUUCCUGUACCUCCAUUCUCCACAAUG